UACGUAGGGUGCAAGCGUUGUCCGGAAUUAUUGGGCGUAAAGAGCUCGUAGGUGGCCUGUCGCGUCGGCUGUGAAAACUCGGGGCUCAACUCCGAGCUUGCAGUCGAUACGGGCAGGCUAGAGUUCGGCAGGGGAGACUGGAAUUCCUGGUGUAGCGGUGAAAUGCGCAGAUAUCAGGAAGAACACCCGUGGCUAAGGCGGGUCUCUGGGCCGAUACUGACGCUGAGGAGCGAAAGCGUGGGGAGCGAACAGG
rnacentral:rRNA from 1 species